GAUGAACGCUGGCGGCGUGCUUAACACAUGCAAGUCGAACGGUGAAGCAGGAGCUUGCUCUUGUGGAUCAGUGGCGAACGGGUGAGUAACACGUGAGCAACCUGCCCCUGACUCUGGGAUAAGCGCUGGAAACGGCGUCUAAUACUGGAUAUGUGAUGUGACCGCAUGGUCUGCAUCUGGAAAGAAUUUCGGUUGGGGAUGGGCUCGCGGCCUAUCAGCUUGUUGGUGAGGUAAUGGCUCACCAAGGCGUCGACGGGUAGCCGGCCUGAGUGGGUGACCGGCCACACUGGGACGGAGACACUGCCCAGACUCCUACGGGUGGCAGCAGUGGGAAAUAUUGCACAAUGGGCGGAAGCCUGAUGCAUCAACGCCGCGUGAGGGAUGACGGCCUUCGGGUUGUAAACCUCUUUUAGCAGGGAAGAAGCGAAAGUGACGGUACCUGCAGAAAAAGCACCGGCUAACUACGUGCCAGCCGCCGCCGUAA
rnacentral:rRNA from 1 species